GCGUGUGUUCCUUAAUACUAGAAGAUGCUUGUGUUGGUUAGUUCUCCCCGUUAUUAGCUGCUCUCGCUACUUCGCACUGAAGAAACUGAAUGUAAAUUAUGGACGUGUUGUCCCUGGACCCUCGUCGUCAUCUUGUGUUGUAAUUCAGUCUAAACCACUCUAAAACCCACAAAAAAAAAUCCGGCAUGUAAUCUUCAAGCACUGAACUAUCUCGG
rnacentral:misc_RNA from 1 species